rnacentral:rRNA from 1 species
AUACGGAGGAUCCGAGCGUUAUCCGGAUUUAUUGGGUUUAAAGGGAGCGUAGGCGGACGCUUAAGUCAGUUGUGAAAGUUUGCGGCUCAACCGUAAAAUUGCAGUUGAAACUGGCAGUCUUGAGUGCAGUAGAGGUGGGCGGAAUUCGUGGUGAAGCGGUGAAAUGCUUAGAUAUCACGGAGAACUCCGAUUGCGAAGGCAGCUCACUAGACUGUUACUGACACUGAUGCUCGAAAGUGUGGGUAUCAAACAGGAUUAGAUACCCUGGUAGUCCACACAGUAAACGAUGAAUACUCGCUGUUUGCGAUAUACAGUAAGCGGCCAAGCGAAAGCAUUAAGUAUUCCACCUGGGGAGUACGCCGGCAACGGUGAAACUCAAAUGAAUUGACGGGG